AACCACUUCGGUGGGGAUUAGUGGCGAACGGGUGAGUAACACGUGGGCAAUCUGCCCUGCACUCUGGGACAAGCCCUGGAAACGGGGUCUAAUACCGGAUACUGACCCGCUUGGGCAUCCAAGCGGUUCGAAAGCUCCGGCGGUGCAGGAUGAGCCCGCGGCCUAUCAGCUUGUUGGUGAGGUAAUGGCUCACCAAGGCGACGACGGGUAGCCGGCCUGAGAGGGCGACCGGCCACACUGGGACUGAGACACGGCCCAGACUCCUACGGGAGGCAGCAGUGGGGAAUAUUGCACAAUGGGCGAAAGCCUGAUGCAGCGACGCCGCGUGAGGGAUGACGGCCUUCGGGUUGUAAACCUCUUUCAGCAGGGAAGAAGCGAAAGUGACGGUACCUGCAGAAGAAGCGCCGGCUAACUACGUGCCAGCAGCCGCGGUAAUACGUAGGGCGCGAGCGUUGUCCGGAAUUAUUGGGCGUAAAGAGCUCGUAGGCGGCUUGUCACGUCGGUUGUGAAAGCCCGGGGCUUAACCCCGGGUCUGCAGUCGAUACGGGCAGGCUAGAGUUCGGUAGGGGAGAUCGGAAUUCCUGGUGUAGCGGUGAAAUGCGCAGAUAUCAGGAGGAACACCGGUGGCG
rnacentral:rRNA from 1 species